CCUACGGGAGGCAGCAGUGGGGAAUAUUGGACAAUGGGGGCAACCCUGAUCCAGCCAUGCCGCGUGAGUGAUGAAGGCCUUCGGGUUGUAAAGCUCUUUUGGCGGGGACGACGUACCCGCAGAAUAAGCCCCGGCUAACUUCGUGCCAGCAGCCGCGGUAAGACGAAGGGGGCUAGCGUUGUUCGGAAUUACUGGGCGUAAAGCGAGUGUAGGUGGUUGUCCAAGUUGGAUGUGAAAGCCUUGAGCUCAACUCAAGAAAUGCAUUCAGGACUGGGCGGCUAGAGGACCGGAGAGGAUAGUGGAAUUCCCAGUGUAGUGGUGAAAUACGUAGAGAUUGGGAAGAACACCAGUGGCGAAGGCGGCUAUCUGGACGGUUCUGACACUAAGACUCGAAAGCGUGGGGAGCAAACAGGAUUAGAUACCCUUGUAGUC
rnacentral:rRNA from 1 species